rnacentral:misc_RNA from 1 species
UAUGCUUGCAUUCAGAACUUGGUUCCGAGUUUGCUCUCUUCUUUCUCAGUAAUAAUUCGAGUUAUCGUCGAGCAAAGUACAUGGUUGAUCUAGAAGUCCAGAUUCCUACUGCUUUUGAUCCAUUCGUUGAGGCCAAGGAUACAGGUGCUCCUGGGGCGAGAGAGUAUGUUCAUAUCCGCAUUCAGCAAAGGAAUGGAAAGAAAAAACUGACGACAGUUCAAGGGCUACCCAAAGAAUUCAGCUACGAGAAGAUCCUCAAGGCUUUGAAGAAGGAAUUCUGUUGUAAUGGGAAUGUUGUACAUGACAAAGAGCUUGGCGAGGUAAUCCAGCUCCAAGGAGAUCAACGAAAAAACGUUCAGAGUUUCCUUAUUAACGCUGACCUUGUGAAGAAGGAACAUAUCAAGAUACACGGUUUUUAGAUCUUCUGUGGCUUUAUGAUCUCAGCUGCUAUUGAUGUAUGUUUAUGGUCUAGGGACCCCUAAAAGGUAUUUAUAAUUUGUUACGAUUGAGUUGGCUUGAACUUGCUUUCUCUUUUCAGCUUCUUGUACUUUAAUCUUUAAAUAAUGGGAACUGCAGCGAGAUGUAAUUCUGAACAAGCAGUGAUGGUAAUUGAUGUUGUUGAUUUAAUCAGCAUUAUUUUUUCCUUCCAACUUUUGUUUAGUUCAAAUGUUACUUAAAAAAUUAUUACCAAAUAGAGCUUAAAUAAGAGAGUAUUCGAUUCUAAUUACAAUACUUGAUACUUGUGUUAAAAGAUGUUGCUAAACACGACCGUCAUGGCAAUCAUGGAAUUGAAUUCUCGGGUAGCUUUUGCUCCUUUUGGACACAGGAUAUGGAAAGGACUAGUGAGGCGUUUUCCCCUUGGGGGUUGGGACGCAGGAUGCGGAAAGGAUUCUGAUGCAGCUAUGGCGAUCAAAGCUUAUGUAAGUUCAUCCUGUUUUGGUAACUCAAAGCUCAUCAUCCCGUAAUCUCUGUUCUAUGGAAGUUGGGUGGCAGCAAAACUUACCUAUGUAAGGUUGAGAGGUCAUUAGGAGUAUGCACCAUCUGUUUGAUGAGAUCAAUAUCAUAAUUUAGCUUGGUCUGAAUUUACUUUUUAUCUUAAAUAAAUUAAAUAAUCAUUAUAAUAUAAUAAUUUAAUAAUAUUAAAAAUACUAUUAAUAAAUAACUUGUAUAUCUAAAAGAAAAUAUGUUUACAUUGUGAACUCAAAACUAAUCUAUAAAGUCGAUUUGAUUCAAUACAAAUUGAUGAUCUGAACUAAAUUGUGAACUCCCUAGAGUUCAGGAAUGGGAUAGUCUGGUGGUGUCAUCUUGUGCUGA